rnacentral:rRNA from 1 species
AUACGGAGGGUGCAAGCGUUAUUCGGAAUCACUGGGCGUAAAGAGUACGUAGGCGGAUCGUUAAGUUAGAGGUGAAAUCCCAGGGCUCAACCCUGGAACUGCCUUUAAUACUGGCGAUCUAGAGAUCGAGAGAGGUGAGUGGAAUUUCCAGUGUAGAGGUGAAAUUCGUAGAUAUUGGAAAGAACACCAGUGGCGAAGGCGGCUCACUGGCUCGAUACUGACGCUGAGGUACGAAAGCGUGGGGAGCAAACAGGAUUAGAUACCCCAGUAGUCC